UCCUGGUGUAGCGGUGAAAUGCGCAGAUAUCAGGAGGAACACCGGUGGCGAAGGCGGAUCUCUGGGCCUUACCUGACGCUCAGGCGCGAAAGCUAGGGGAGCGAACAGGAUUAGAUACCCUGGUAGUCCUAGCCGUAAACGUUGGGUGCUAGGUGUGGGCGGAUAUCGACCCCGUCCGUGCCGAAGCUAACGCAUUAAGCACCCCGCCUGGGGAGUACGGCCGCAAGGCUAAAACUCAAAGGAAUUGACGGGGGCCCGCACAAGCGGCGGAGCAUGUGGCUUAAUUCGAAGCGACGCGAAGAACCUUACCUGGGCUUGACAUGCGGGGUGAAACCGUAGAGAUACGGCGCUCCUCGGAGCCCGCACAGGUGGUGCGUGGCUGUCGUCAGCUCGUGCCGUGAGGUGUUGCCUUAAGUGGCGCAACGAGCGCAACCCCUGUCCUUAGUUGCCAGCGGGUCAAGCCGGGAACUCUAGGGAGACUGCCGGUGCCAAACCGGAGGAAGGUGGGGAUGACGUCAAGUCAUCAUGCCCCUUAUGUCCAGGGCUGCACACAUGCUACAAUGCGCGAUACAGAGGGUUGCGAUCCCGUAAGGGGGAGCGAAUCCCAAAAAGUCGCGCUCAGUUCGGAUCGGGGUCUGCAACUCGACCCCGUGAAGUCGGAGUCGCUAGUAAUCGCAGAUCAGCAAUGCUGCGGUGAAUACGUUCCCGGGCCUUGUACACACCGCCCGUCACACCACGAAAGUGGGCAACACCCGAAGCCGGUGGCCUAACCCUUGUGGAGGGAGCCGUCGAAGGUGGGGCUCGCGAUUGGGGUGAAGUCGUAACAAGGUACC
rnacentral:rRNA from 1 species